GGUUGGUCCAAGUGCAGUGGUGUUUACAACUAAUUGAUCACAACCAGUUACAGAUUCCUUUGUUCCUUCUCCACUCCCACUGCUUCACUUGACCAGCCUAAA
rnacentral:Y_RNA from 1 species